rnacentral:rRNA from 1 species
UACGAAGGGGGCUAGCGUUGCUCGGAAUUACUGGGCGUAAAGCGCACGUAGGCGGAUUGUUAAGUCGGGGGGUGAAAUCCUGGAGCUCAACUCCAGAACUGCCUUUGAUACUGGAGAGCUCGAGUCCGGAAGAGGUGAGUGGAACUCCGAGUGUAGAGGUGAAAUUCGUAGAUAUUCGGAAGAACAACCAGUGGCGAAGGCGGCUCACUGGUCCGGUACUGACGCUGAGGCACGAAAGCGUGGGGAGCAAAC